UACUCUAUUACUGUUUUGUUUUGUAUUGUUUUCUCUUUUUUUAACGAAACAAUUACUGUUUAUUAUUGUUUUUUAUUUCCACACAAUCAUUUUGGUGUUCGCUUUUUCCAAAAGUUACUACAGUUAUUGUUAAUACUUAAAAAUCAUUCUCAAAAAAUGGGAUCUCCUUCAAACAGUGUUUUUCAGAGUCAAAUUUUUUGAUGAAUGUGUUGGCAAAUACCAUGUAAAAUGUAGUCAAAAUAACUGUAGUAAUUAUGCUAUGAGGCUAACGACAUGUAAACGCACUCAGUGAAUUAUUAUUUUUUUGUGUGUGUGUAAUAUUAGGGUUUGCUUGUGACUUACUGCAUAACAAAUUCUAUUAUG